rnacentral:rRNA from 1 species
AGAGUUUGAUCCUGGCUCAGGACGAACGCUGGCGGCGUGCCUAAUACAUGCAAGUCGAACGCUUCUUUUUCCACCGGAGCUUGCUCCACCGGAAAAAGAGGAGUGGCGAACGGGUGAGUAACACGUGGGUAACCUGCCCAUCAGAAGGGGAUAACACUUGGAAACAGGUGCUAAUACCGUAUAACAAUCGAAACCGCAUGGUUUUGAUUUGAAAGGCGCUUUCGGGUGUCGCUGAUGGAUGGACCCGCGGUGCAUUAGCUAGUUGGUGAGGUAACGGCUCACCAAGGCGACGAUGCAUAGCCGACCUGAGAGGGUGAUCGGCCACAUUGGGACUGAGACACGGCCCAAACUCCUACGGGAGGCAGCAGUAGGGAAUCUUCGGCAAUGGACGAAAGUCUGACCGAGCAACGCCGCGUGAGUGAAGAAGGUUUUCGGAUCGUAAAACUCUGUUGUUAGAGAAGAACAAGGAUGAGAGUAACUGUUCAUCCCUUGACGGUAUCUAACCAGAAAGCCACGGCUAACUACGUGCCAGCAGCCGCGGUAAUACGUAGGUGGCAAGCGUUGUCCGGAUUUAUUGGGCGUAAAGCGAGCGCAGGCGGUUUCUUAAGUCUGAUGUGAAAGCCCCCGGCUCAACCGGGGAGGGUCAUUGGAAACUGGGAGACUUGAGUGCAGAAGAGGAGAGUGGAAUUCCAUGUGUAGCGGUGAAAUGCGUAGAUAUAUGGAGGAACACCAGUGGCGAAGGCGGCUCUCUGGUCUGUAACUGACGCUGAGGCUCGAAAGCGUGGGGAGCAAACAGGAUUAGAUACCCUGGUAGUCCACGCCGUAAACGAUGAGUGCUAAGUGUUGGAGGGUUUCCGCCCUUCAGUGCUGCAGCUAACGCAUUAAGCACUCCGCCUGGGGAGUACGACCGCAAGGUUGAAACUCAAAGGAAUUGACGGGGGCCCGCACAAGCGGUGGAGCAUGUGGUUUAAUUCGAAGCAACGCGAAGAACCUUACCAGGUCUUGACAUCCUUUGACCACUCUAGAGAUAGAGCUUCCCCUUCGGGGGCAAAGUGACAGGUGGUGCAUGGUUGUCGUCAGCUCGUGUCGUGAGAUGUUGGGUUAAGUCCCGCAACGAGCGCAACCCUUAUUGUUAGUUGCCAUCAUUUAGUUGGGCACUCUAGCAAGACUGCCGGUGACAAACCGGAGGAAGGUGGGGAUGACGUCAAAUCAUCAUGCCCCUUAUGACCUGGGCUACACACGUGCUACAAUGGGAAGUACAACGAGUCGCAAAGUCGCGAGGCUAAGCUAAUCUCUUAAAGCUUCUCUCAGUUCGGAUUGUAGGCUGCAACUCGCCUACAUGAAGCCGGAAUCGCUAGUAAUCGCGGAUCAGCACGCCGCGGUGAAUACGUUCCCGGGCCUUGCACACACCGCCCGUCA